ACUCUAUUACAAAAAAAUAAUGCAGAGUAAGGAUAAAACACAGGCUCAUGAAAAUUAACAAGCUAUAUGAUAUGGUAUAUUAUCUUAUGCUUCGACAUGAAAUAUAAGUCUUGACAAGAUUCUUAGAGAAUCUUCUUACUGGUUCCUAUUUUACUGAAAAUGCAAUAAGGAGGAUCAGAGAAGUUUACUCCACAGCCCUUCUCACCUUAACUGCUUUUCCAAGACAUGUGAUGAACGUACAAACUUUCCUCUAAAGAAAAGAAGCAGGAAUAUGGGUUCCUAGUUACCUUUCGAAUUCUCUUUCGCCCUCAACAGACUGGGCUGAGGUGGGGGUGGGGUAGGACAGGAGGGUACUCUCUGCUAUAGGAGCUUCAAAGAACUGAAAAUCAUGCAGGAAAUGUGAUGAUUAAUGAUUCUAUGACUAGAGUGGUAUAAAUUGUUAAAAAUUAAAAUUUUUUUUAAAUUAAGUGAAUUUAGGGUAAUAACGGCUUUUUUAAAUUGCUAUAAGUUCAAAGACUGUAGCUCUUCCAUAAAUAAAACCUUACCUAAAUUUGGCUAACCCUAGAACUUUCUGAUAAAGAAUGUUUUCAAAUCGUGAAAGAAAGACUAAGGUAAGAGUGGAAACUGCGAAGCAAGUCUCCUGCAUUCUCUCUGGUCUUUGCCACCAAUGUGGGGUUUUUCUUCCCCUUUAAUUUGACGUCAGUCAUUUCCUCAAUUGGAAAAAAAACAAAUAAAACCUCUUAUUUUCAAUGCUAAAAGGGAAAAGAUAUACUUACCACCCACAAUUUAGAAGUCCUGUAAGGGGGUUGAUUGGUUGAUAUCUUAACCUUCUAACAUUCUUUUAUCAGCACUUAAUCAUUGUUGGGGUUUUCUGGCACACAGAAGACUUAAUGGGCAGAACAUAGUGGGUGGUGCUGAUGAUAUGUGGGAAGGAGGAGAGAGGGAGGAAAAUGAUGCACUUUCUACCGCAGUGAAAGGAGCAGAAUAGACUGAGCUGGCCAUAUAAAUAAAGGACUGUGACAUAUCACUGCACACAAACUGUAUACCUUGUGUGAUUUGUGAGUAGCAAUGCUCUCUGCAUCAAACCUGUAUAACAGAGUGAAUUCAUAAGGCAGCAAGAGCAACCUCUGAGCGCAAAAAACCUGCACCUUUGCUGUUUGGAAGCUUUGAGCAUCAGGGGAAUGGGUUUCAUUUUAUAAGAGAUCCUUACAAUGCACUUGGCUCGAGCCAUCCAGGUUUCUGGAAUUUGGAAACCAGUAUAAUCUCUCUCAACUGUUAACCAAUUUCUUACACUAAUGAAAUGGUCCCACUGCUUCUGUGGCUACACUCUAAUCCCUUAGGGAGUCUUCACAGGAUGAGGGCCAAGUUUCAGUAGAAAAGGGCUUGACCUAAAAAGAACAGCACCAACAAAAAGCCAGCCCUUCUCCAUCAGCAAUCCUCCAGCUCUCACAGGGAGCCCCCUGCUGCUUUGUUAUAGGAAUCCUGCACCAUCUACACAGUAUGGGGUAAGAACAAAAACUCCCAACAUCUCCAGUUUUUAAAGGACUGGCUUCAAAUCAGUCACGUAAGAGGCAAGCUUAUCCUCUUGGUAGAAUUAGAAUCUGUGGGAGGGUGGGGCAGAUGACCAGACAAGGAAGGUUAAAUUCUCUACUAGUAAAUACUUAGCCAUGUCCAUAAUGAUCAUGUAUAUAUUCUGUUACUGUAUACAGGGGCUAUUUGAUCAAUUUGAGAAAAUGACUAAUGUGGCACACUGCAUACUACUGUGAUACACUAGAAACCUAGAUCCGUGGUCUGCACAAAAACAAACAACCAAGGCAGAGAUUGUAUAUGAAGCAAAUAUUCCAUUUAUAUAGCUAAAAAUAAAAUAAAAUCGACAUUUCACUUCAUACUCAUCAUGCAAAAAUAACCCAAUUGCUCAAUCUCUGAUACGGCAAUUGACUGCAUUUUCAAAUACAUAAAAGGGGUAUAAAUUCACUGAAGAGGUAUUUGUUUAGGCCCUUCCAAGCACUUAUGAUGAAUUUUCAUUCACAAUGUUGUAAAAAAUAUUAGAAUCAUUUUCCUUCCAGCAGAUUAGCUCCAUUUUACAGAUGUGAGAACUGAGAAACCAAAGGGGAUGCUUUCCAAGGAUAGUGCUCAAUAUGGUGUCAUAAACCAGAACCCAAACCUGGCAUUUUUCUCAUCUCACUCCCAAGGCUAGCAUUCCACAUCAAUACAGACUACAUUUAAAGAAGGACAAGAGAAAUCCUCUGAAUUCUGAGGGCCUCGGCAUUAAGUCACCUCUGAUUUUAUUGAUCUGCCUGCCUGGAAUGGCUGGAGAGCCUGCUUCAAUAUGAAUGCAAAGUCAGGGUUGCUGCCUGCUGGCUGAACCCUCUUUAUUUAAGGAACACUGACUUCUCUGGCAAAAACAAGUUCUCUGAGCCUUUUACCAUCCCUUCCAGCUGAAUUUCAUUUUGCUUGAUUCUAGCUAGCCCUACAUAAAUCUUUUAUCAUAUAAAAAUGCUCCUGAUUCUUUUGCCUUCUAACUGAAAAAAGGAAAAUAAAAAAAAAGACCCUAUAUGAAAAUGAUGGGGAAUGCAUGCAAACAAGCAAUAGUUACAUCAAGCUGUGACUGAGAGCCAGGAUAGGGCAAAUCCUUUGAAAUCAGGCAGCAAAGCAGAAUCAGAAGAGGUCGGCUGAAUAACCUACUAGCAGUCACUAACAGCAGUACCAUAGGAGAAAGAGCAAUUUGACUAGCUGUGACCAGUGGUGGUCUCCUUGCGUGACUAUGUUUCCGCAGGAGAAUCCAAAUCGAGAGCUGGAAAAUACACGGGAACCAUGUCUUUCCACUGGCAUUUCCCCUACCACAUCUCCUUGCAGUGAAGACACCGGGAUUCCACUGCAGAGCUUUCGUUCACAAUGAAAUAAUCAUCGCUUCAUUCAUUUGCAGCCCCUUCGGAGCCCCUUCUUUGCUCUGUUUGCUCUUUUUUGAAACGAGUAUGCCAACAGAGCUAUAUCACACUACUAUUGCCUGCUGUAUAAUUAGCUCCAAACCCACAGCACAAAACUAUAGGGAUUUACAAGUGCCCUGGAUUCUGCUUUUCUUUCCCCUUGGAAUCAGCUAGUCUUCCUUGACAAGAAGGGACCUUGGGCUACUCUAAUGAUAUAUUGAGAGUUUUAAACUCGACUCUCCAAACUCCCAAGUCUAGAGUACCAAAAUAACACAGCAGAGACCAGAAGCUGAGCCACGGAGACAGGAAAGCACUUUGGUAAGCACUUAAACCUGCUGAGAAUCUUCUCCUCUGCCAGAUGCUUGCAUCUCAUCAGCAGACUACCCUGAAUGAAGGAGGCAAGCACUGUAGGAUUUUAUUUAUUUAUAGCUCAUUCUGGCCUGCUAACUACGACCAAGCGCUUCCCCUUGCUAAAACAUGCUACAAGUUAGAUGACUUUUGAGUGUCUCAGUACAAGCCGAAGAUGGAUUUAAUCUCUUGGUGUCAAAGAUUAUCCGAAUUCUGGAGAAUGGCAAUGGGCUAUUGAUUAGUUGUAUAGGAGGCUCUGGAUUUCUAAACCUCCUCAUAGCCUUCUUCACAAAAAGAAGGUCCAGAGGCCACCCACUGACAGCUAAACAAUGAAGGUGCCAAGCAGCCUAAACUCAGUCAUGACCAAGACAUGUGCCAUCAGGAGAGAACACAGCUGACCUCUUCUGGAUGUGAGACAGGAGAAAAGGAAAGUACUUGAAUUAAAACAUUAUAACAUGGAAGGCCGAUUGCACAAGGAGCAAACAGCAGAGAAAGUGCAGUGCAACUCAACUAAAGCAUGGAUUUCCAUCUAAGAAACAGGUGGAAAUAAACACCAAUAGGUCCUCACCCAUUAUAUAUGUACAGAAGUAAACAAUAAAGUAUACUUCCAUCUCCUGCAUCCAUUUUGAUGCUUAUUUGAAUCACGGAUUUAAAAUUUUUUAAAAGGAACUGUGUUCACUCAUGUGUAUGACUUAUGAAAAUCAUUUGGAGUUCUAAAUUUCAUAUUCCCAGACUGUCAUAAUAUGCACAGCCAUAAGCACAGCCACAGAGUCUAUGGGAUAAUAUACUUUACGUAUGUUUGUAUAAAUAUAGCUAUAUUU
rnacentral:lncRNA from 1 species